GAACUUAAGCAUAUCAAUAAGCGGAGGAAAAGAAACCAACAGGGAUUGCCCUAGUAACGGCGAGUGAAGCGGCAACAGCUCAAAUUUGAAAUCUGGCCUUCGGGUCCGAGUUGUAAUUUGUAGAGGAUGCUUUUGGUGCGGUACCUCCCAAGUUCCCUGGAACGGGACGCCUUAGAGGGUGAGAGCCCCGUACGGUUGGAUACCAAUCCUUUGUAAAGCUCCUUCGACGAGUCGAGUAGUUUGGGAAUGCUGCUCAAAAUGGGAGGUAAACUUCUCCUAAAGCUAAAUACCGGCCAGAGACCGAUAGCGCACAAGUAGAGUGAUCGAAAGAUGAAAAGCACUUUGAAAAGAGGGUUAAAUAGUACGUGAAAUUGUUAAAGGGGAAGCGUUUACGACCAGACUUUUUCCAGGCGGAUCAUCCGGUGUUCUCACCGGUGCACUUCGCCUGGUUGAGGCCAGCAUCGGUUUUUGUAGGGGGAUAAAAGCUUGGGGAAUGUAGCUCCUCCGGGAGUGUUAUAGCCCCUUGUAUAAUACCCCUAUAGGGACCGAGGUACGCGCUCUGCAAGGAUGCUGGCGUAAUGGUCGUCAACGACCCGUCUUGAAACACGGACCAAGGAGUCAAACAUUUGUGCGAGUGUUUGGGUGUUAAACCCUCACGCGUAAUGAAAGUGAACGGAGGUCAGAGCCGAUAGGUGCAUGAUCGACCGAUCCUGAUGUUUUCGGAUGGAUUUGAGUAAGAGCAUAACUGUUCGGACCCGAAA
rnacentral:rRNA from 1 species